UGUUUUUUCUGACUGUCUAUAUUAAGUGUCUAUUUACAGAAUACUAAAUUAAACAGUGAGCAUAGGAUUAGUUCACGUGGGCCACAAAGACAAGCUCAGACAGUCUUAAUGCCAGCAACAGCAGCCCACAUCAGCUGAGGGUUCUGCUCAUACUGUUGCAUCUUAUUACUAACUUUCACAGAAGCGAUGCUAUGUAGAGAGUACACGUAUUUUUGGAGAAACUAUCACACAAUAUCAUGUCCUGUUUUACCCUAUGAAAACAUAAAUACAACAUUGUAUGUAAAUAUAUAAUCAUAAACAGCAAAUGUGAUUCACAAUAUUAGUUUAACAUUAACAACAGAACUGUAAUGGACCGAGUUGAAAAAGCAGGAGUCGUCACAGGAAUUAUUAGAAAAAUAGUUUCAAUUUAUUUACCCAAAAAUUACAUUAACAAAAGUAAGAAAUAUUGAGAUCAUAAAAGAGGUCAAAGAAACUAAACUAAACUCAGGCAAAGAACUGUGAACUUAACGAACUGCCCAAACAACCAUAACUGACCUAAACAUGAAAUGACACACAGGGGUAUACAUAAUGGCUGAUCAGCCCACUAUGACACACGAGGGGUAACUAAACAAAACACAAUCAUAAACCACAAAAAUGAUGCAGUACAGUCUAGUUUGUUAAUAAAAUAAAGAUCAACGAAGAAAAUCAAAACUACUAAACCCUAAACUCAGUAUUUAAUUAAGUACAAAUACUUUGCUUUUAAUUAAAGAAAACACACAUUCUCCCCUUCAGCAGGAAGUGGUGGUGCAGUCCAGUUAUCCCUCUUUGUAUUUAACAGCUUCAAACCCAGGCCACCACCUUUUGUCUGGCAGCUCCAGGGAUCAUGGCAGAUGUCAUUGGGAUGAGGUGGGCAUGGAAAGUUGGGCAUACAGAAGACACUGAGGAUCCUUGUCUCCAUCCUGCGUGGUGCCCUUCUUUACUUUCAUCGAGGUGUCUUGACCCAAAGCUGGUACAAAAGAGAAUCACCAAAGCCAGCAGUCUUCAAUCCACCUGACAGUUAUUUGGACAAUUCAGUCUGGACUAAACUCUAUAAUAUUCCCGAUACACCCUUGUUUGCAGAUUAGUUGUAAAUCCACAGACAGGAUUAGCCCACCUGCCCUUUAGAGAUCUCAACACUACUCCUCUGAUGUUAACCAUCGCUCCACAUUUAAUAAAUAAUAAUGAAGUAGAGGUUCAAGAACUAUGCCCUUAUGUAUUUUCGUUUGCUCUGUAGUUUUUACUUGCAUGCUUGUUCAUAUAAGAUUCUGCCCUCGAGUACAGUUCUGCACUGGUGAGUGCAGACUUGUAGCAUUGGUAAUGUUUCAGUUCACAUUAAUUGUGACUUGAUUUCCAGUGUUUGUGUAGCAGUGAACAGUGUAAAGGUUUAGCUUGCAACAGGCCUUUUUGACCCCGACUCCUGCAGUGAUUAAUGGUUUCUGGGUUAGCCUUCAGUUUCUGGGUUGUUGCAGAAAGGUUCAUUAAACAGUGUUCCUAUAGCUGAGUGGUGUAAAGAGCACAAGAAUGCAAUGAAAGGGGAUAUCUGUCUUCAAGGAUUUAAUGUUGAAUUAUGUACUCCUACCUUUUUCCAAAAAAUUGAAACUAAACUUUUUCAUUUUUUUAAACUAAGGCGAAUUAGUGUAUUUCAUAUUUAGAAACACUGGUGCACUGUCCUGUAUGUAUUUCACUUGAAAUAUCCAAGUUGUAUAACUCCCCAUCCUUAUUUUUCUCUUUUGAGGCAAUGUAAAGUGAAGAGUUACAUUUUGCAGUGUAAAAAGGGGUUUUUUUUGUCUAUUAUUUUUCAUCAUAUGUCAGACAUCUCCCCUGGGAGAAAAUCUUAAGUCUCCAUGUUUUGAAGUGCUGUAUUUCAAUAAAUCUCACGGCAG